GUAAUGCGAUAAGUAAUGUGAAUUGCAGAAUUCAGUGAAUCAUCGAAUCUUUGAACGCACAUUGCGCCCGCCAGUAUUCUGGCGGGCAUGCCUGUCCGAGCGUCAUUUCAACCAUCAAGCCCCCGGGCUUGUGUUGGGGACCUGCGGCUGCCCGCAGGCCCUGAAAACCAGUGGCGGGCUCGCUGUCACACCGAGCGUAGUAGCAAUCACCUCGCUCAGGGCGUGCUGCGGGUUCCGGCCGUUAAACAGCCUUACAAAACCCAAGGUUGACCUCGGAUCAGGUAGGAAGACCCGCUGAACUUAAGC
rnacentral:misc_RNA from 1 species